rnacentral:rRNA from 1 species
AUGUCGUCGCCGGCGCCGCCUCUGCUCCCCAUCGCGCCGCUGCACGGAGAGAGCGGCUACCUCCGCUGGAGGGAGUCGGUUUUGCUCCGCCUCCACACGCUCGACGUGGCGCACGUGCUGACCGAGGAGCGCCCCGCAGACGAGAGGUCGGCCGCCGGCAAGCAGUGGGCGCGUGCGGACGCGAUGUGCCGCGGCCACAUCCUGGCCACGCUCUCGGACCGCCUCCUCCAGGUCUACGCGCCCCACGCCACCGCGGCGGCCGUGUGGCGCGCCGUGGCGCGCACCUACGACCUGGACAUAGCGGUGGAUGAUCCGACAUACAGCGUGCCCUAUGAGAAGGCCGUCAAGUUCCGGUACGCGGAGGGCGAGCCCGUGACGGAGCAGCUCGCGCUCCUCGAGGGCUUGGCCACCAACGCAGAACUAAAUGACACUUGCCUGUGUCUCAUCGUGAAGGAUCAGUUCCCGACGUUGAGAAUGGCGGUCAUCAAGCGCAAAUACCGUGUGGGCGUGGACAAGCUCUGGGAGAUCGCCCGGCGGAAGGAACUGGCUGCCAGGGUAGAGUAUGUUCGCAAUGGCAGGUACGCUCCGCCGACGACAUACGCGCAAGACAGCUCCUCCUCCUCAGAUGAUGAUGAGCGGUGCCCGAUACGGCGACGGAGGACGUGA